UACGUAGGUGGCAAGCGUUGUCCGGAUUUACUGGGCGUAAAGAGCGCGCAGGCGGUUGGAUAAGUCGAAUGUGAAAGCCCCCGGCUUAACUGGGGAGGGUCAUUCGAUACUGUUCAACUUGAAGGCAGGAGAGGGCAGCAGAAUUCCCGGUGUAGUGGUGAAAUGCGUAGAUAUCGGGAGGAAUACCAGUGGCGAAGGCGGCUUUCUGGACAGGUACUGACGCUGAGACGCGAAAGCGUGGGGAGCAAACAGG
rnacentral:rRNA from 1 species